rnacentral:rRNA from 1 species
CAACUUUCAACAACGGAUCUCUUGGCUCUCGCAUCGAUGAAGAACGCAGCGAAAUGCGAUAAGUAAUGUGAAUUGCAGAAUUCAGUGAAUCAUCGAAUCUUUGAACGCACCUUGCGCCCCCUUGGUACUCCGGGGGGCAUGCCUGUUUGAGUGUCAU